AUGGGUUACUACCUUGCGGAUGGAAUCUAUCCACCAUGGGCCACCUUGGUCAAAACAAUUUCACGUCCAAAAGGUAACAAAAACAUUCACUUUGCCCGAUGUCAAGAAGUUGCUAGGAAAGAUGUUGGGAGAGCCUUCGGUGUGUUUCAGAAGUGCUUUGCAAUUGUUCGUGGCCAUGUCGAGUACUGGACCUCCAAGGUUCUAUGGCUGACCCUGACUUGUUGCAUCAUAUUGCAUAACAUGAUCAUUGGAGAUGAGAGGGAUAUGCCUGAGAACUUUCGGUACAUCACCAACGGGACUCCGGUUGAGCCAGAGACAUGA
rnacentral:rRNA from 1 species